CAGUAGCCGCGGGAAUACGAAGGGGGCUAGCGUUGCUCGGAAUGACUGGGCGUAAAGGGCGCGUAGGCGGUUUGCACAGUCAGAUGUGAAAUUCCUGGGCUUAACCUGGGGGCUGCAUUUGAUACGUGCAGGCUUGAGUGUGGAAGAGGGUCGUGGAAUUCCCAGUGUAGAGGUGAAAUUCGUAGGUAUUGGGAAGAACACCGGUGGCGAAGGCGGCGACCUGGUCCAUAACUGACGCUGAGGAGCGAAAGCGUGGGGAGCGAACAGGAUUAGAUACCCCCGUAGUCCCUGUCUCUUAUAC
rnacentral:rRNA from 1 species